UACGUAAGGGGCGGGCGUUAUCCGGAAUUACUGGGCGUAAAGCGUGUGUAGGCGGUUUAGUGUGUGGGAUCUGAAAGCCCGGGGCUCAACUCCGGAUCCGGAUCCCAAACUGCUAGACUCGAGAGUAUCAGAGGAGAGCGGAAUUCCCGGUGUAGCGGUGAAAUGCGUAGAUAUCAGGAGGAACACCUAUGGCGAAGGCAGCUCGCUGGGACGUUACUGACGCUGAGACGCGAAAGCGUGGGGAGCAAACAGG
rnacentral:rRNA from 1 species